GUCCAGACUCCUACGGGAGGCAGCAGUGGGGAAUAUUGGACAAUGGGGGGAACCCUGAUCCAGCGACGCCGCGUGAAGGAAGAAGGGUUUCGGCUCGUAAACUUCUAUCAACAGGGACGAAAGAAAUGACGGUACCUGAAUAAGAAGCCCCGGCUAACUACGUGCCAGCAGCCGCGGUAAUACGGAGGGGGCAAGCGUUACUCGGAAUCACUGGGCGUAAAGAGUGCGUAGGCGGGGUAAUAAGUCAGAUGUGAAAUCCUGUAGCUUAACUACAGAACUGCAUUUGAAACUGUUACUCUGGAGUGUGGGAGAGGUAGGUGGAAUUCUUGGUGUAGGGGUAAAAUCCGUAGAGAUCAAGAGGAAUACUCAUUGCGAAGGCGACCUGCUGGAACAUUACUGACGCUGAUGCACGAAAGCGUGGGGAGCAAACAGGAUUAGAUACCCCUGUAGC
rnacentral:rRNA from 1 species